rnacentral:rRNA from 1 species
GAGUUUGAUCCUGGCUCAGGACGAACGCUGGCGGCGUGCUUAACACAUGCAAGUCGAGCGAUGAAGCUUCCUUCGGGAAGUGGAUUAGCGGCGGACGGGUGAGUAACACGUGGGCAACCUGCCUCAAAGAGGGGAAUAGCCCUCCGAAAGGAGGAUUAAUACCGCAUAAAGUCAGAGUUUCGCAUGAAACUUUAACCAAAGGAGUAAUCUGCUUUGAGAUGGGCCCGCGUCCCAUUAGCUAGUUGGUAAGGUAAUGGCUUACCAAGGCAACGAUGGGUAGCCGACCUGAGAGGGUGAUCGGCCACAUUGGAACUGAGACACGGUCCAGACUCCUACGGGAGGCAGCAGUGGGGAAUAUUGCGCAAUGGGGGAAACCCUGACGCAGCAACGCCGCGUGGGUGAUGAAGGUUUUCGGAUCGUAAAACCCUGUUUUCUGGGACGAUAAUGACGGUACCAGAUGAGGAAGCCACGGCUAACUACGUGCCAGCAGCCGCGGUAAUAC